GUGGGGAAUCUUGCGCAAUGGGCGAAAGCCUGACGCAGCCAUGCCGCGUGAAUGAUGAAGGUCUUAGGAUUGUAAAAUUCUUUCACCGGGGACGAUAAUGACGGUACCCGGAGAAGAAGCUCCGGCUAACUUCGUGCCAGCAGCCGCGGUAAUACGAAGAGGGCUAGCGUUGCUCGGAAUUACUGGGCGUAAAGGGCGCGUAGGCGGCCUGGUAAGUCUGGAGUGAAAGUCCUGCUUUUAAGGUGGGAAUUGCUUUGGAUACUGUCGGGCUUGAGUGCAGGAGAGGUAAGCGGAAUUCCCGGUGUAGCGGUGAAAUGCGUAGAGAUCGGGAGGAACACCAGUGGCGAAGGCGGCUUACUGGACUGUAACUGACGCUGAGGCGCGAAAGUGUGGGGAGCAAACAGGAUUAGAUACCCUGGUAGUCC
rnacentral:rRNA from 1 species